rnacentral:rRNA from 1 species
AGAGUUUGAUCAUGGCUCAGGACCAACGCUGGCGGCGUGCGUAACACAUGCAAGUCGGACGCAGGUCGGGCAACCGAUGCUGCGUGGCGGACGGGUGAGGAACACGUGAGCAACCUGGCUCUUGGUGGGGGACAACCUGCAGAAAUGCGGGCUAAUCCCGCAUACGGCUCCUAUCGGAGGUGGUAGGAGAGAAAGCAGUAAUGCGCCGAGAGAGGGGCUUGCGGCCGAUUAGCUAGUUGGUGUGGUAAGAGCGCACCAAGGCGACGAUCGGUAGCUGGUCUGAGAGGACGAGCAGCCACACUGGGAUUGAGAACGGCCCAGACUCCUACGGGGGGCAGCAGUGAGGAAUCUUCGGCAAUGGGGGCAACCCUGACCGAGCGACGCCGCGUGCGGGAUGACGGCCUUCGGGUUGUAAACCGCUUUUCUGUGGGACGAGAAGCAGGACGGUACCACAGGAAGAAGCCUCGGCUAACUACGUGCCAGCAGCCGCGGUAAUACGUAGGAGGCGAGCGUUGUCCGGAGUUACUGGGCGUAAAGGGUGCGCAGGCGGCGGUUCGCGUGGAUAGGUGAAAUCUCCUGGCUUACCUGGGAGGGUGGUAUCCAGACGGGAUCGCUUGAGGGUCGCAGAGGGGCGUGGAAUUCCGGGUGGAGCGGUGAAAUGCGUAGAGAUCCGGAGGAACACCGACGGCGUAGGCAGCGCCCUGGACGACACCUGACGCUGAGGCACGAAAGCUGGGGGAGCGAACAGGAUUAGAUACCCUAGUAGUCC